rnacentral:rRNA from 1 species
GAUUCACGCCGCGUGAGUGAUGAAGGUUUUCGGAUCGUAAAACUCUGUUGUUAGGGAAGAACAAGUGCAUAGUAACUGAUGGCACCUUGACGGUACCUAACCAGAAAGCCACGGCUAACUACGUGCCAGCAGCCGCGGUAAUACGUAGGUGGCAAGCGUUGUCCGGAAUUAUUGGGCGUAAAGCGCUCGCAGGCGGUUCUUUAAGUCUGAUGUGAAAUCUUACGGCUCAACCGUAAACGUGCAUUGGAAACUGGGGAACUUGAGUGCAGAAGAGGAGAGUGGAAUUCCACGUGUAGCGGUGAAAUGCGUAGAGAUGUGGAGGAACACCAGUGGCGAAGGCGACUCUCUGGUCUGUAACUGACGCUGAGGAGCGAAAGCGU